rnacentral:rRNA from 1 species
GCGUAAAGGGCGCGUAGGCGGAUUAUCAAGUCUCUUGUGAAAUCCAACGGCUUAACCGUUGAACUGCUUGGGAAACUGGUAAUCUAGAGUGGGGGAGAGGCAGAUGGAAUUGGUGGUGUAGGGGUAAAAUCCGUAGAUAUCACCAAGAAUACCCAUUGCGAAGGCGAUCUGCUGGAACUUAACUGACGCUAAGGCGCGAAAGCGUGGGGAGCAAACAGGAUUAGAUACCCUGGUAGUCCACGCCCUAAACGAUGUAUGCUAGUUGUUGGGGUGCUAGUCAUCUCAGUAAUGCAGCUAACGCAUUAAGCAUACCGCCUGGGGAGUACGGUCGCAAGAUUAAAACUCAAAGGAAUAGACGGGGACCCGCACAAGCGGUGGAGCAUGUGGUUUAAUUCGAAGAUACGCGAAGAACCUUACCUGGGCUUGAUAUCCUAAGAACCUUAUAGAGAUAUGAGGGUGCUAGCUUGCUAGAACUUAGAGACAGGUGCUGCACGGCUGUCGUCAGCUCGUGUCGUGAGAUGUUGGGUUAAGUCCCGCAACGAGCGCAACCCACGUAUUUAGUUGCUAACACUUCGGGUGAGCACUCUAAAUAGACUGCCUUCGUAAGGAGGAGGAAGGUGUGGACGACGUCAAGUCAUCAUGGCCCUUAUGCCCAGGGCGACACACGUGCUACAAUGGCAUAUACAAUGAGACGCAAUACCGCGAGGUGGAGCAAAUCUAUAAAAUAUGUCCCAGUUCGGAUUGUUCUCUGCAACUCGAGAGCAUGAAGCCGGAAUCGCUAGUAAUCGUA